GAGAGCUGUUCACGUCCAUGCUCACUUGUUCCUUUGUUGACACCUGAGAGUUACAGCACAGCAGCAGUCCCAUAGGUCCCAUAGGCUUCGAGCAUUUCUUAUGUGAUUGCAUUGUACUUGCCUUAUUUCAUCAAAAGAACAGAUGAUAUGACUAGGACUAUGGCAGCCAUUUUGUGACCAUGAAGUGACAAAAAUGGGAAUGAAAACAAACACAUGGAGAAUGAAGGAUUAGACCAAUGGAAAGAACCAGUGUCUUUUAUCAUAUCAUUAAGCUGCUAAAACAAUUCUGCAAUUACCUGCAUAUAGCAUUCGUGGGCAGUUUUGAAUGAAGUUAGCAUUUAAUCGGUGAGCUGUGAAUAAAACAGAUUGCCCUCCACAGUGUGGGUGCGCCUCAUCCAAUCAUUGAAGAUCUGAAUAGAAUGAAGAGACUGGCCUUCCUGUUCCAAAGGGAAUUCUUGAGCAGACUGUCUUUGGGCUUCAUCUGUACCUGCACCUCUUACAUCUCCAGCCUGCCAGCCUACACCACCAGCUUCCCACACACCAGCCUCCAUAACCAUGUCUCCUCUGGAAACUUAACCUUGGUUUAGGGGACAAGAUAACAUAAUCGUGACCGUGCAUUUGAGAACCAGUCACUUUUUCCAGUCCCCAUGUCCAGUGACCUUGGGCAGGUCACUUAGAGUCUCACUGCUCUCACUGGUAAAAUAUGAAGAUCAAAAGAGAUACUGUCUGUAAGGAUGUUUCCCAGAGCUGCGCUAAUCAUUUGUUGUGCUCUUUGGAGAUGACAAAGACAUGUUACUGGACCCCCCCUAGAAACAUACACAGCAGUGGAAGAAUCGUGCAAACUGAACAAACCCUGGCUAAGGCAUGAUGCAUUCCUCCAGCAGAAUGGUGGUGUCUAUCAGUCAGGGGAUUUGUAAUCAGAUCUGCAAUCAGACAGG